UACGUAGGGGGCUAGCAUUGUCCGGAUUUAUUGGGCGUAAAGAGCGUGUAGGCGGCCAGAUAAGUCCGCUGUGAAAUCUCGAGGCUCAACUUCGAGCUGUCGGUGGAAACUAUCUGGCUAGAGUCCGGAAGAGGAGAAUGGAAUUCCUGGUGUAGCGGUGAAAUGCGUAGAUAUCGUAAGGAAGACCAGUGGCGAAGGCGGGUCUCUGGACAGUUCCUGACGCUGAGGCACGAAGGUCAGGGAGCAAACGGG
rnacentral:rRNA from 1 species